UUUACCGUAAAAGAGGGGAGCCUAAGGUAGGACUGGUGACUGGGGUGAAGUCGUAACAAGGUAGCCGUACCGGAAGGUGUGGCUGGAUCACCUCCUUUUAGGGAGACCUACCCAUUGAAGAAUCGAAAGCCGCAGGCGAAUAGAGAAUCAACUGGUCUACUCUAGGUCGGUGACGAAUUGGUCAAGUCUCUUUCAAAGUAUUAUAUUUCCGGUGAUUCCCAGCAACUAGGAAAGACCUAGACUGCUGGUGAGAACCAGCCAGAACCUUGAAAAAA
rnacentral:misc_RNA from 1 species